rnacentral:lncRNA from 13 species
AACGAAAAAAGAAUCAAACUAACAUCAGACUUCUCAUCUGCAAUUCUGGAAGAAACACAGUACAGUGGCCAGGCACAAUGGCUCAUGCCUAUAAUUCCAACACUUUAGGAGGCCAAGGCAGGAGGAUUGCUUGAGGCCAGGAGUUCAAGACCAGCCUUGGCAACAUAGAAAUGUAUGCACCAUAAAAUAAAGCAACAAAGUUUAAGCCCCUGGCCCUGGAAACAAGGUGUUUGCAGUUGGUUCUGAUGCGGUGUGAUGAGCGUUAGGACACAACACAAGGAGCUAUGAGGAGAGACCCCAAAACUCCCAUAGGAAGGAAGACUUCCUGUGAGAUUUCACAAAUGGCCAGCGUUUUGAAACUACUGUUUAUGAAGGCCUGAAUAAUGUUUAGACAAG